rnacentral:rRNA from 1 species
AUUGAACGCUGGCGGCAGGCCUAACACAUGCAAGUCGAACGAGUGGCGGACGGGUGAGUAAUGCAUGGGAAUCUGGCUUAUGGAGGGGGAUAACGACGGGAAACUGUCGCUAAUACCGCGUACCAUCGGCUGAGCCCAAGUGGGAUUGGGUAGUUGGGGGGGUAAUGGCAUACCAAGCCGACGAUCUCUAGCUGGUCUGUGAGGAUGACCGUCCAAACCGGGACUGAGACACGGCCCGGACUCCUCAGGGAGGCAGCAGUGGGGAAUAUUGCGCAAUGGGGGCAACCUGACGCAGCCAUGCCGCGUGAAUGAAGAAGGCCUUCGGGUUGUAAAGUUCUUUCGGUGACGAGGCGUUAAUCACAGAAGAAGCACCGGCUAACUCCGUGCAAGCAGCCGCGGUAAUUC